rnacentral:rRNA from 1 species
GAUGAACGCUAGCUACAGGCUCAACACAUGCAAGUCGAGGGGUAACGAGAGGAAAGCUUGCUUUCCUUGUCGACGACCGGCGCACGGGUGAGUAACGCGUAUCCAACCUGCCCCCAACUAGGGAAUAACCUUGCGAAAGUAAGACUAAUACCCUAUAAUUUCCUCAGAUGUCAUCUGACGAGGAAUAAAGAUUUAUCGGUUGUGGAUGGGGAUGCGUCUGAUUAGCUUGUUGGCGGGGUAACGGCCCACCAAGGCAACGAUCAGUAGGGGUUCUGAGAGGAAGGUCCCCCACAUUGGAACUGAGACACGGUCCAUACUCCUACGGGAGGCAGCAGUGAGGAAUAUUGGUCAAUGGGCGGAAGCCUGAACCAGCCAAGUAGCGUGCAGGAUGACGGCCCUAUGGGUUGUAAACUGCUUUUAUACAGGAAUAAAGUUAGCCACGUGUGGUUAUUUGUAGGUACUGUAUGAAUAAGGACCGGCUAAUUCCGUGCCAGCCGCCGCGGUAA